rnacentral:rRNA from 1 species
UGGGGAAUCUUGGACAAUGGGGGCAACCCUGAUCCAGCCAUGCCGCGUGAGUGAUGAAGGCCUUAGGGUCGUAAAGCUCUUUCGCCUGUGAAGAUAAUGACGGUAGCAGGUAAAGAAACCCCGGCUAACUCCGUGCCAGCAGCCGCGGUAAUACGGAGGGGGUUAGCGUUGUUCGGAAUUACUGGGCGUAAAGCGCACGUAGGCGGACCAGAAAGUUGGGGGAUGAAAUCCCGGGGGCUCAACCCCGGAACUGCCUCCAAAACUAUUGGUCUAGAGUUCGAGAGAGGUGAGUGGAAUUCCAAGUGUAGAGGUGAAAUGCGUAGAUAUUCGGAGGAACACCAGUGGCGAAGGCGGCUCACUGGCUCGAUACUGACGCUGAGGUGCGAAAGUGUGGGGAGCAAACAGGAUUAGAUACCCUGGUAGUCCACACCGUAAACGAUGAAUGCCAGUCGUCGGGUAGCAUGCUAUUCGGUGACACACCUAACGGAUUAAGCAUUCCGCCUGGGGAGUACGGUCGCAGAUU